rnacentral:miRNA from 1 species
GAUCAAUUUUGGUGUUUAUGACGUCGAUAUUCGACGUCAUAAACACGAUCAACUUUGGUGUUUAUGACGUCGAAUAUCGACGUCAUAAACACGAUCA